rnacentral:rRNA from 1 species
UCCUUUGGGUUUUAUAAAAGGUCAGACCUGCCCUAUGAUUAUUUAAAUGGCCGCGGUAUCCUGACCGUGCAAAGGUAGCAUAAUAGUUUGUCUUUUAAUUGGGGACUAGCAUGAACGGUCAUACGAGAUAUUGACUUUCUUUAUUUUAUUUUAAUGAAAUUUAUCUUUUUGUGAAAAAGCUAAGAUAUAUUUAUUAGACGAUAAGACCCUAUAAAACUUUAUUGUACUUUAAAAAUAAGUUUUGUAGAUUUUAUUUAUUUUAUUUUUAAAUUACAAUUUUGUUGGGGAGACAGGUAAAUUAAAUUGACUUUACUGAUUUAUUUCAUUUAUUUAUGUAAUUUUUGAUCCGGUAUUACCGAUUAGCAGAUUAAGUUACUUUAGGGAUAACAGCGUAAUCUUAUUGGAGAGUUCUUAUUGAUAAUAAGGUUUGCGACCUCGAUGUUGGAUUAAAAUUAGUGUAAUAGUGUAGCAGCCUUACAACUAGGUCUGUUCGACCUUUAAAUUUUUACGUGAUCUGA